GACGAACGCUGGCGGCGUGCCUAACACACGCAAGUCGAACGAGGUCCAUGCAGUGGCAACACUGCGGAAGACCUAGUGGCGAACGGGUGAGUAACACGUGAGGAACCUGCCCCCGAAGACCGGGAUAACCCUCCGAAAGGAGAGCUAAAUACCGGAUACCCCCACUUGAUCGCAUGAUCGGGUGAGGAAAAUGGAUUCCGCUUCGGGAGGGCCUCGCGGCCUAUCAGCUUGUUGGUGGGGUAACGGCCCACCAAGGCAUCGACGGGUAGCUGGUCUGAGAGGACGGAUCGGCCACACUGGGACUGAGACACGGCCCAGACUCCUACGGGA
rnacentral:rRNA from 1 species